rnacentral:lncRNA from 1 species
UACAGAGUAGGAGAAAAUAUUUGCAAAAGACAUAUCUGAUAAAGGACAGCUAUCCAAAAUAUGCAGAGUAUUAGAACUCAAGAAUAAGAAAAGGAACAACCUGGACAGACACCUCACCAAAAAGAAAAGACCCGGACAGACACCUCACCAAAGAAGACAUGUGGACGGCAAAUAUGCAUGUGUAAGGAUCCUGAAAAUGAUAUGGCAUUAGGAAAUUGCAAAUUAAAGCCACAAUGAGAUACUGUUACACACUUAUUAUAAUGGCCAAAAUCUAAAACACUGACAACAAAUGCUGAAGAGAAUGUGCAACAAUAGGAACUUUCAUUCAUUGCUGGUGGGAAUGCAAAAUGGUACAGCUACUUUGGAAGACAGCUGGGCAAUUUCUUACAAAACUAAACAUACUUUUACCAUACACUCCAACAAUAGUGCUCUUUGGUAUUUACUCAAAUGAGUUGAAAACCUGUGUCUACACAAAAACCUGCACACUGAUAUUUAUAACAGCUUUGUUCAUAAUUGCCAAAAUUUAGAAGCAAUCAAGAUGUCUUUCUCUAGGUGAAUGGGUAAAUAAACUGUGGUACAUCCAGAAAACAGAAUAUUAUUCAAAACUAAAAUGAAAUGAACUAUCAAGCCAUGAAAAGACAUGGGGAAAACUUAAAUGCAUAUUGCUAAGUGAAAGAAGCCAAUCUUAAAAGGCUAUAUACUGUAUGAUUCUAACUAUAUGACAUUCUGCAAAACACAGAACUAUAGAGGUAGUAAAAAGAACAGUACUUGCCAGGGGUUAAGGAGGAGUGAGAGAUAAGUAGAUGGAACACAGAGGAUUUUUUAGAACAGUGAAACUAUUGUUUAUGAUACUAUAAUUGUGGAUACAUGUCAUUAUACAUUUGUCCAAAGCCAUAGAAUAUACAACAUCAAGAAUGAACUCUAAUGUAAGCUAUGGAUUUGGGGUCAUAAAUGUGUAUAAAUGUAGGUUUGUUGAUUGUAACAAAUGUACCACUCUCUUGUAUGAGGCUGAUAGUCGGGGAGGCUAUGUGUGUGUGUCAGGGGGUGCAGAGUAUAGAUGGGAACACCCUCUACUUUGUACUCAAUUUUGCUGUGAACCUAAAACUUCUCUGAAAGAUAAAUUUUAUUUUGAAAAACACU